GCUGCUACAGUCAAAAUCUGCUGUUAUCUGCUCUUAUUCAUGGUGCUACCUACUCUCCUCCCCAUGAAACAUUUCUAGGGAGCAAGUUGAAUCUAUAAAACAUGACAGAUAUCAGUGAUACCUUCCACUGUGGAAAGAAGCUGACUUUGGAGAUGAAAAAGGCAAUCAUGAUAAAAUUCAAGAAAGAUCUUUUCCUAGAUUAAAGCACCUACAUGCCUGCCCCUUCAGAACCUUCCUCUGCUGAGAGCUAGGUGUUUUCCAAAGAAUUGUGGAGUUGGGAAAAUGAGCUGAAAUCUAUGGAUAUGGUAUAUGCUUCUUAUGGUC
rnacentral:lncRNA from 1 species